AGUGAACGCUGGCGGUAGGCCUAACACAUGCAAGUCGAACGGCAGCACAGUAAGAGCUUGCUCUUACGGGUGGCGAGUGGCGGACGGGUGAGGAAUACAUCGGAAUCUACUUUUUCGUGGGGGAUAACGUAGGGAAACUUACGCUAAUACCGCAUACGACCUACGGGUGAAAGCAGGGGAUCUUCGGACCUUGCGCGAUUGAAUGAGCCGAUGUCGGAUUAGCUAGUUGGCGGGGUAAAGGCCCACCAAGGCGACGAUCCGUAGCUGGUCUGAGAGGAUGAUCAGCCACACUGGAACUGAGACACGGUCCAGACUCCUACGGGAGGCAGCAGUGGGGAAUAUUGGACAAUGGGCGCAAGCCCGACCCAGCCAUACCGCGUGGGUGAAGAAGGUCUUCGGGUCGUAAAGCCCUUUUGUUGGGAAAGAAAAGCAGCAGGUUAAUACCCGGCCGUUCUGACGGUACCUAAAGAAUAAGCACCGGCUAACUUCGUG
rnacentral:rRNA from 1 species